rnacentral:rRNA from 1 species
UUUCCAGACUCCUACGGGAGGCAGCAGUGAGGAAUAUUGGUCAAUGGCCGUAAGGCUGAACCAGCCAAGUCGCGUGAAGGAAGAAGGAUCUAUGGUUUGUAAACUUCUUUUAUAGGGGAAUAAAGGUAUCCACGUGUGGAUAUUUGCAUGUACCCUAUGAAUAAGCAUCGGCUAACUCCGUGCCAGCAGCCGCGGUAAUACGGAGGAUCCGAGCGUUAUCCGGAUUUAUUGGGUUUAAAGGGAGCGUAGAUGGGUUGUUAAGUCAGUUGUGAAAGUUUGCGGCUCAACCGUAAAAUUGCAAUUGAUACUGGCAGUCUUGAGUACAGUUGAGGUAGGCGGAAUUCGUGGUGUAGCGGUGAAAUGCUUAGAUAUCACGAAGAACCCCGAUUGCGAAGGCAGCUUACUAAACUGUGACUGACAUUGAUGCUCGAAAGUGUGGGUAUCAAACAGGAUUAGAUACCCCCGUAGG